rnacentral:rRNA from 1 species
GCGGCAGCAGUAGGGAAUCUUCCACAAUGGACGCAAGUCUGAUGGAGCAACGCCGCGUGAGUGAAGAAGGGUUUCGGCUCGUAAAGCUCUGUUGUUAAAGAAGAACGUGGGUAAGAGUAACUGUUUACCCAGUGACGGUAUUUAACCAGAAAGCCACGGCUAACUACGUGCCAGCAGCCGCGGUAAUACGUAGGUGGCAAGCGUUAUCCGGAUUUAUUGGGCGUAAAGCGAGCGCAGGCGGUCUUUUAAGUCUAAUGUGAAAGCCUUCGGCUCAACCGAAGAAGUGCAUUGGAAACUGGGAGACUUGAGUGCAGAAGAGGACAGUGGAACUCCAUGUGUAGCGGUGAAAUGCGUAGAUAUAUGGAAGAACACCAGUGGCGAAGGCGGCUGUCUGGUCUGCAACUGACGCUGAGGCUCGAAAGCAUGGGUAGCGAACAGGAUUAGAUACCCUGGUAGUCCAUGCCGUAAACGAUGAUUACUAAGUGUUGGAGGGUUUCCGCCCUUCAGUGCUGCAGCUAACGCAUUAAGUAAUCCGCCUGGGGAGUACGACCGCAAGGUUGAAACUCAAAAGAAUUGACGGGGGCCCGCACAAGCGGUGGAGCAUGUGGUUUAAUUCGAAGCUACGCGAAGAACCUUACCAGGUCUUGACAUCUUCUGACAGUCUAAGAGAUUAGAGGUUCCCUUCGGGGACAGAAUGACAGGUGGUGCAUGGUUGUCGUCAGCUCGUGUCGUGAGAUGUUGGGUUAAGUCCCGCAACGAGCGCAACCCUUAUUACUAGUUGCCAGCAUUAAGUUGGGCACUCUAGUGAGACUGCCGGUGACAAACCGGAGGAAGGUGGGGACGACGUCAAAUCAUCAUGCCCCUUAUGACCUGGGCUACACACGUGCUACAAUGGAUGGUACAACGAGUCGCGAGACCGCGAGGUUAAGCUAAUCUCUUAAAACCAUUCUCAAUUCGGACUGUAGGCUGCAACUCGCCUACACCAAAUCGGAAUCGCUAGUAAUCCCGGAUCAGCAUGCCGCUGUGAAUAUGUUCCCGGGCCUUGUACACACCGCCCGUCACACC